UGUGCCUGGAUUUAGUCAGAAGAUUGAUCGAAGGUCAGAUGGCCAGUUAUGGAAGUAUAUUGGAUACGACACAACAAAAUACAAUGGGGAAAUAUUGGAGACAUAAUUUGGAGCAUUGGAAAGGAG